rnacentral:lncRNA from 1 species
GUUGUAACUUUUAUGUUCCAGCGUUAAAUUCGUUCCGCCUUUUUUUUUUUUUUUUUUUACUUUUUUCAAUGCGUUCUAUCGGAUUUAAUUCGCUAAAAGUAUCUAUAAACCGCACCUUUUCCAUGAUUUGUAUACGAACAGAGGUGGGUUAUGAGACUUGUGGAAACUGCCGAUAUAUUUUUUUUGUUUUUUAAUCUCGCCCCAUCCGACGUUAACCAAUAGUGUGACGAACUAAUUGAGAAGAGAAGUACCUGGAAAUCACUUUACUUGUCCCUUUUGUAUUGAAAUUAUCGAUCGACAGUCGCGUAAAGUGAAAGGGGAUGAAAAAUUGUUGCGUGCUGCAUACAUUAAGUGUAACGGCUCACUGGCGCCAUCAUAACCCCUCCUUUGUCUGCCAGUUUGUUAGCCACAUCUCGACAGUUCGAAUUCGAUCAGAAAUUUCGAUUUCCUUCAACUUUUUUUUAAUUCGCUUUAAUGCGUAUUUUCUCGUAAUACUUAAUAUUGUUAAAACGAUAAAGAAAAAUUGCUUAGUAUAGCGAAGUAUUUUCGAUCAGCUAUCGUUUUUGCUUUAAAAAAAAAAAAUUAAUGUAAAAUAUACCGGUAACUCGUUUAGCGCUAAAUUUUUGACGUUUCUUUUGCCGUUCGGUUGCGUUCUGGGUAUUAGGCAUGCACCUCUUGCUUUAAUGUGACCAAGCUUUUCCUUGUUGUGUCUAUUCUCUCCGUUACCAAGGCAACAAAGUUGGACAGUGUAAAAGGGAGUAAAGUAAACACGGAAAGGAUAAUUUGAAUUAUUUCCUUUAGAAAAUUAUAUUGGUUACAACUUUAAUCAAUUUGUUACCAGUUUACAGGAAUUAGUACUUAAAUUAUUUAUAACGGUAAUAAUUUUAGCUGUAUAAAAUAUUUUUAUAAAUAAUGA